CCUACGGGAGGCAGCAGUAGGGAAUAUUGCUCAAUGGGGGAAACCCUGAAGCAGCAACGCCGCGUGGAGGAUGAAGGUUUUCGGAUUGUAAACUCCUUUUGUUAGAGAAGAUAAUGACGGUAUCUAACGAAUAAGCACCGGCUAACUCCGUGCCAGCAGCCGCGGUAAUACGGAGGGUGCAAGCGUUACUCGGAAUCACUGGGCGUAAAGAGCGCGUAGGCGGGAUAGCAAGUCAGAUGUGAAAUCCUAUGGCUUAACCAUAGAACUGCAUUUGAAACUGUUAGUCUAGAGUAUGGGAGAGGUAGGUGGAAUUCUUGGUGUAGGGGUAAAAUCCGUAGUGAUCAAGAGGAAUACUCAUUGCGAAGGCGACCUGCUAGAACAUAACUGACGCUGAUGCGCGAAAGCGUGGGGAGCGAACAGGAUUAGAUACCCCUGUAGUC
rnacentral:rRNA from 1 species